AUUGAACGCUGGCGGCAGGCCUAACACAUGCAAGUCGAGCGGAGCGGCGGACGGGUGAGUAAUGCAUAGGAAUCUGCCUGGUAGUGGGGGAUAACGUACGGAAGCGAGAGCUAGUAACGCAUAUUAUGUGAUGAGCGUAGGUGGGGUUAGCUAGGUGGUGGGGUAAAGUCCUACCAGGGCGACGAUCCGUAAGUGGUCUGAGAGGAUGUUCAGUCACACUAGGACUUGGACACCGUCAAGACGCCUACGAGACGCAGCAGUGGCGAACAUGGGGCAAUAGGCGAAAGCCUUGUCCAGCCAGGCGGCGUGUGUGACGAAGAUCUUCGGAGUGUAAUGCACGCUAUGGUGUGAUGCGUUACCAGCAGAAUAAGCACCGGCUAACUUCGUGCCAGCAGCCGCGGUAAUUC
rnacentral:rRNA from 1 species